UACGUAGGGGGCAAGCGUUGUCCGGAAUUAUUGGGCGUAAAGCGCGCGCAGGCGGCUAUUUAAGUCUGGUGUUUAAGACUGGGGCUCAACCCUGGUACGCACGAGAAACUGGAUGGCUUGAGUGCAGGAGAGGGAAGUGGAAUUCCACGUGUAGCGGUGAAAUGCGUAGAGAUGUGGAGGAACACCAGUGGCGAAGGCGACUUCCUGGCCUGAAACUGACGCUGAGGCGCGAAAGCGUGGGGAGCAAACAGG
rnacentral:rRNA from 1 species